rnacentral:rRNA from 1 species
GUAGUCAUAUGCUUGUCUCAAAGAUUAAGCCAUGCAUGUCUAAGUAUAAGCAAUUAUACCGUGAAACUGCGAAUGGCUCAUUAAAUCAGUUAUCGUUUAUUUGAUAGUACCUUACUACUUGGAUAACCGUGGUAAUUCUAGAGCUAAUACAUGCUGAAAACCCCGACUUCGGAAGGGGUGUAUUUAUUAGAUAAAAAACCAAUGCCCUUCGGGGCUCCUUGGUGAUUCAUAAUAACUUCUCAGAUCGCAUGGCCUUGCGCCGGCGACGGUUCAUUCAAAUUUCUGCCCUAUCAACUUUCGAUGGUAAGGUAUUGGCUUACCAUGGUUUCAACGGGUAACGGGGAAU